rnacentral:rRNA from 1 species
UACGUAGGGGGCAAGCGUUGUCCGGAAUCAUUGGGCGUAAAGCGCGUGUAGGCGGCCAGGUAAGUCCGUUCUGAAAGCCCGGGGCUCAACCCCGGGAGGCGGAUGGAUACUGCUUGGCUCGAGUCCGGAAGAGGCGAGUGGAAUUCCCGGUGUAGCGGUGAAAUGCGCAGAUAUCAGGAGGAACACCGAUGGCGAAGGCAGGUCUCUGGGCCACUACUGACGCUGAGAAGCGAAAGCAUGGGGAGCGAACAGG